GACGAACGCUGGCGGCGUGCUUAACACAUGCAAGUCGACAUGAGUGGCGAACGGGUGAGUAAUACGUAGGUAACCUGCCCUCCUUUUUGGGAUAAGCCUUGGAAACGUGGUCUAAUACCGAAUAAAGGGGGAUGGGCUCGCGGCCUAUCAGCUUGUUGGUGGGGGGAUGGCCUACCAAGGCGAUGACGGGUAGCCGGCCUGAGAGGGUGACCGGCCACAUUGGGACUGAGAUACGGUCCAGACUCCUACGGGAGGCAGCAGUGGGGGAUCGUGCACAAUGGGCGAAAGCCUGACGCAGCCAUGCCGCGUGUAUGAGGAAGGCCUUCGGGUUGUAAAGUACUGUCAGCGGGGAGACGUUACCUGAAGAGAAAGCACCGGCUAACUCCGUGCCAGCAGCCGCGGUAAUAC
rnacentral:rRNA from 1 species